UCUAUAACGGGGUAAACUACUCGUAAGGGUGGGGCGCAAAGCUUCAGGUCCUCCAAUAAGUGCGGCGGAUAGCUGGGCUACCGAA
rfam:Candidate division CPR1 bacterium GW2011_GWA2_42_17 TV05_C0045, whole genome shotgun sequence.